UACGGGGGGGGCAAGCGUUGUUCGGAAUUACUGGGCGUAAAGGGCUCGUAGGCGGCCAACUAAGUCAAACGUGAAAUCCCCGGGCUCAACCCGGGAACUGCGUCCGAUACUGGCAGGCUUGAAUCCGGGAGAGGGAUGCGGAAUUCCAGGUGUAGCGGUGAAAUGCGUAGAUAUCUGGAGGAACACCGGUGGCGAAGGCGGCAUCCUGGACCGGCAUUGACGCUGAGGCGCGAAAGCCAGGGGAGCAAACGGG
rnacentral:rRNA from 1 species